rnacentral:rRNA from 1 species
CGGAGGAUCCAAGCGUUAUCCGGAAUCAUUGGGUUUAAAGGGUCCGUAGGCGGUUUUGUAAGUCAGUGGUGAAAGCCCAUCGCUCAACGGUGGAACGGCCAUUGAUACUGCAAGACUUGAAUUAUUAGGAAGUAACUAGAAUAUGUAGUGUAGCGGUGAAAUGCUUAGAUAUUACAUGGAAUACCAAUUGCGAAGGCAGGUUACUACUAAUAUAUUGACGCUGAUGGACGAAAGCGUGGGGAGCGAACAGGAUUAGAUACCCUGGUAGUCCACGCCGUAAACGAUGGAUACUAGCUGUUCGGAGCAAUCUGAGUGGCUAAGCGAAAGUGAUAAGUAUCCCACUGGGGAUACGUUCGCAAGAUG